UUAAGUUCAGCGGGUAGUCCUACCUGAUUUGAGGUCUAAUUGAUCAGAAUGUCCUCGUGAAAGGACGAUUAGAAGCCAAACGACUUGAGCUACACAGUGACGACAUUAUCACACCGCAUAUAUGCUGCAAAUCAAAGUCCAGCUAAUGCAUUCAAGGGAAGCUGAUUGAAAACCAGCAAGUCCCCAAGUCCAAGCUCACC
rnacentral:misc_RNA from 1 species